GCUCCGUUGGUGAACCAGCGGAGGGAUCAUUACCGAGUGCAAACUCAUAACCCUUUGUGAACCUAUAUCUGUUGCUUCGGCGGCUCGCUCUCGGGCGAGCCCGCCGGUAAUAUCAGUAUCUCUGUUUGAGCCCGACGAUACUUCUGAGUGUUCUUAGCGAACAGUUAAAACUUUUAACAACGGAUCUCUUGGCUCUA
rnacentral:misc_RNA from 1 species